AGUGAACGCUGGCGGUAGGCCUAACACAUGCAAGUCGAACGGCAGCACAGGAGAGCUUGCUCUCUGGGUGGCGAGUGGCGGACGGGUGAGGAAUACAUCGGAAUCUACUCUGUCGUGGGGGAUAACGUAGGGAAACUUACGCUAAUACCGCAUACGACCUACGGGUGAAAGCAGGGGACCUUCGGGCCUUGCGCGAUUGAAUGAGCCGAUGUCGGAUUAGCUAGUUGGCGGGGUAAAGGCCCACCAAGGCGACGAUCCGUAGCUGGUCUGAGAGGAUGAACAGCCACACUGGGACUGAGACACGGGCCAGCCUCCUACGGGAGGCAGCAGUGGGGAAUAUUAGACGAUGGGCGCAAGCCUGAUCCAGCCAUACCGCGGGGGUGAAGAAGGCCUUCGGGUUGUAAAGCCCUUUUGUUGGGAAAGAAAUCCAGCUGGCUAAUACCCGGUUGGGAUGACGGUACCCAAAGAAUAAGCACCGGCUAACUUCGUGCCAGCCGCCGCCGUAA
rnacentral:rRNA from 1 species